rnacentral:rRNA from 1 species
AAAGGGAAGCGAAGUGGUGACAUGGAGCGACCCCAAAAAUAAACGUCCCAGUUCGGAUUGUAGUCUGCAACCCGACUACAUGAAGCUGGAAUCGCUGGUAAUCGCGGAUCAGAAUGCCGCGGUGAAUACGUUCCCGGGUCUUGUACACACCGCCCGUCACACCAUGGGAGUCAGUAACGCCCGAAGUCAGUGACCUAACCUUAGGGAGGGAGCUGCCGAAGGCGGGACGGAUAACUGGGGUGAAGUCGUAACAAGGUAUC